AUCCAGAUGAGGAGUCCCAAAUAGGACGAAAUGCGCAUCCUGGAU
rnacentral:hammerhead_ribozyme from 1 species